CUUCUCGCGAGGGCGUGGAGGGGAGCGUUUCUCUGCUCCGACUGACCAAAGACUAAAGGCCGGGUUCUAGAGGCCAGGAAGUCCAAACUCAAGGUGGUGGCAGAUGGCAUAUUUGGUGUCUGAAUUUCCCACGUCCUACUUUGCAAUGUAACCCAGCAGGUGUCGUUCUGGUUUGUGGUUACCGAUCCUUCAAGAAAUCACACCCUUCCCGCCGUUGAGGUACAGUCAGCCAUCAGAAUGAAUCGAAACCGGAUCAACAAUGCCUUCUUUUUGAAUGACCAGACUCUGGAAUUUUUAAGAAUUCCUUCCACUCUUGCACCACCUACUGACCCGUCUGUGCCCAUCUGGAUUAUUAUAUUUGGUGUGAUAUUCUGCAUCGUCCUUGUGGCGACCAUGCUAUUGAUUUUAUCAGGAAUCCGGCAACAUAGAAGG